AGCAUGGAUGAUUAGGCCUCACUGCAUAUUAGAGUGACAGAGUAUAUUCCUGCUUCAGCGUAUUCUUCUGCUGAGGAUUUUGCUACCAACUUCUGCAGCAAAAACAAGUUUGAAGCAGAAUUUAGAUAUCUAUGGGCUGAAGUUACAAUUCUAAAGCUGUCUGCUUGUUCACGUGCAUCAGCUUUGCUCAACUUUCCCAAAGUUUUGAUCCCAUUCUUCACAUCCAAAAUGAAACUUAUCAAAGAAUAAGUUUUUGAAUUUGGAACACUACUGCUAAGCAAGCUGGUAUGAUGGCCUAUUUCAAUAGUUUUUAUCAGAUUAUUAAAUAAAAUUAUCUUCUUAAUAAAAUCAGAUUGAUAUGACUAGACAUAAAGCAACAAAUGCAUUUACAAUAGUGGCAUAGAAAAAACUUUAUGGAACAGUAUUUUUUUUCUGCUGAAUAGCAGUUGUGGUCUAUCCUAAACUGAAACACAUUAUUUUUGACUUUAUAUUAUUACUGCGAGUUUUUCUGAAGGUUUUCUUAAAAUAGCGAUAUACAGAUUAAUACUCAUUGUAUAUUUAACUCCCCAGAUCAGUAACACUGUUUUUUAAUUUAAGAAUCUACAGAUUGGGUUGAAGGACAAGUCCACCUAGACAAGAAAUUGUAUCUGACAGUAAUCAAUGAAGGUUGUCUAGGGAAAAGUAUUAAAAACAGAACAAGUUUGCAGCAAGACUUCCUUAGAAUGUUUUCCAACAUGCCAACAUUUGAUGGUCAUCCAAUUUUUGGUGCUAUGAAAUUAAUUAUCUUCAGAGUGAUUUAUUACUUUUUUCUCUCUUCAUGUAGCCUACCAAGGUUCCGAUGUAAACAGCUAAACUAAAAAAUGAAAUAAAUCAGCUGGAUAAGGAAUUUUCAAAUAUACUGUUUUACACCAGAAUGACUGCUGAAAUAUGAAGUUACAACAGAACCAGAGAAAAUACUUCUUCAAAGUGCAAUAGAUUUUCAAAGAAAAUUUUUAAGGACGUAAAGGAAUAACAGCUUGAAAUGUUCUAUCACUUACAUCAGUGUAUCCAUCUAGUACAGGCAAAGCAUUGGCACAAUAAACAGCAGCCUAUUAAAUCUUUAUUUCCAAGGCACACCUGUUACAAGGAAGUUAAAAAAGGUGAAGGUUAACAACGGAGACCAGCUUUUAUACAGAUCACAGAGAUCACAUCUGAAGGUGUUACACUUGGGAGCAGGCAUUACAGAGGGACACAUCAGGAAUAUGCCCCCUAGCCUAUGAUAUUGUACAAGCUCUGUAACAUCCUGCAGGCCAAAAAGCAGUAAUUGUUGUAUAAAUUGUUGUAACUCCAAAGAUUUCUAAAUUUUGCUUAUAGCCAUUCUGUCUUUUAUAUAGAAGCUUUGAUUCAGAAAAACAUGUAAAAGUCUACUUGACAUCCUAAUUCUCAUGAAUGUUCAUUCCACUAUGUUUUAGAAAAUGUAUAACACAAGUGAGUUUAGGUUUGCCCUAAACUUCAUUCUUCAUCAUCAAUAAUAUAAACUAGUUGUUUUUCUGUGUGACACAUUUAAAAAGGUAAUAAAACAUGCUCACACAUUUAAA